ACAGGAGUGGGGGUGGGACAU
rnacentral:miRNA from 1 species